CAGUAGCCGCGGGAAUACGAAGGGGGCUAGCGUUGCUCGGAAUGACUGGGCGUAAAGGGCGCGUAGGCGGUCUAUACAGUCAGAUGUGAAAUUCCUGGGCUCAACCUGGGGACUGCAUUUGAUACGUAUGGACUUGAGUGGAGAAGAGGGUCGUGGAAUUUCCAGUGUAGAGGUGAAAUUCGUAGAUAUUGGAAAGAACACCGGUGGCGAAGGCGGCGACCUGGUCUUUAACUGACGCUGAGGCGCGAAAGCGUGGGGAGCAAACAGGAUUAGAUACCCGGGUAGUCCCUGUCUCUUAUAC
rnacentral:rRNA from 1 species